GUAUGUAAUUAACCUGUAAGUAAUUGGAUUUCAGGAGGGCCUAACAGCCACACUAAGCAAACUUCAGAUUUUCUCUGUGCCAACUAUACUGUUCUAUCAUAAUGGAGAAAAAGCUUCGGAAAUUGUGGGUGCUGAUGUGACAAAGCUCAAGGAAACAAUUGAGGGACUUUACAAGAAGCACUAAUCAAAUCAUAAUCAUGUGAAGGAUUAGAAUGUGGAAACUCUUUUAUGGGAGAUCUGGUGAUUACUACUGCAGGAAUUGCUAUGUUAUACUUCAUUACAGUAUAUUUUCCUCUUCCCUAUAUAACCUCUCUAAUGAGGAACCUAAUUGUUUCAGACCAUUUCUUUUGAACUGGCAUAUACGAAAUGUUCCCGACCAUUAAAGAAUAUCAUCCUUUAAUAAAGUUUGUUAUUGUAGUUUUUCUCUGGAAUAAAGUGGUCUUGUUAUAUUUGUCAGUAGAAGCUGCCUCAAACCUGAUUCAUAUUACAGGACUCAACCUGCAGUCACUUCUCAGCAAAGCCAGAGAAGAUAACGAAGUGUAUACCGGUAUCCAGAGUAUUCCAAGCAUCAGUAGCAGCUUGUACUGUACUGUGAAUUGUUAAAGCAAUAAGCAUCUAUAAAGAGGAUGCAGAUAUACAGCCAUGUCCUUGUUGAAAGGAAAAUUAUUAGGUUCGGACACUGACGUAGAGAUACUUUCGGAGUCCAAUGAAAUAUUGACAUGUGGAAUGUACACGUGUCCGCGGAAUUUUAAGUCAAGCACGUCAAAAGCGUAGGUAAAGUGUAGGUAAAGCGCAGUCAAAAAGUGUAGUCAAAGUGCAGUCCACGCAACAAAUUUUAAUUGAAUAUCCAGACCUAAUAAUUUUCCUUGUUGAAGAGGGAAAAAAUAAGUGAACUGAUGUCAUUUCACUGUAUUGGAGGUGGAUCUUGGCAGGACUGCAUGUGAUUCCCCUCUCAUGGAUCUUAUGUAUCAGCCACGCAUUUGUUUGAGGUCUGAAAAGUUUUUGAAAUGCCAAAGGUGAAAAUUACGUUCAGAGUGCAGACUGCAGGGUUGGAGUAGAAGCCCUUUACCGUUAUAGGCGUAAUCAAAAAAGCCUGGGCGUCAGGUAAUGA